UCUGUCUCAUUUCCAGGUCAGUUCAAUGAAUGAUCCUAUUUAGUUCUUUUUCCUGUUUAAAAUAUUUCCUACUGAGUCCAGAGCAGUGCCCUUAAAACAUAAUUGAUUUGGGUCAUUGAACCUUUAUUUUUCAUGCAUGUUAGUUUGCAUCCCGCCACUGGUCUGACUGGUAUUUCAAUUAGAAAAAUGCAGGCGGAUUUCUCCUAGAGGCUGAAGUUCACGUGGAGUCUCUGGCGAAAUAAGAUCCUGGAGUAUGUAUCCCUGGAACUGGGCAAUGAUUUGUUACUUUUUUUUUAAUUCUCUGUCUGGCCAGAAUGUUAUAAAUCUGGCGCUCUCUUGUUAGCUUCACGCUAAGCAGCAAUAAUGUCCACAGUGUUUUAGUCCUGAUAAUUCUAAUUACUGAAGCACUGAAGAAGCUGAAAGCUGGGAAGAUGGACGAGGCUGGCCUCAAGUCCUGCACAGCACAUGGGACUCUCUCUUUGUAGAGCCGAACUAGAAUUCUCUUGUUUGCCAAGCCAGUAAUGGAAGCAGCAGCCAAGGUAUAUUAUUCCUGUGGUGCAGUGGUGGAAUCAAUGGAAAGAGGCCUGAUUUUAUCACCAGGUUUCCCAAACAACUACUACCCGGGGACACACUGUGUUUGGCAAUUUUUCAUUCCCAUGAGAACCCAUCUUAUCUUGGAAAUUUUUGACUUUGACAUUUUUGAGAGCUCUAGUGAAACUCCAACCCCCUGGGAUGGCUUUUCAGCCCCCACUAAAGCAGGAAAUAAGGACAUGUCUUCUCUUGAGGAAAACCUGGACUUUGCUCUCCGUACUACAAAGCCCUCUCUCCAGACCUGGGUGUCAAAGGUGGCUCAGAAUCUAAGCAGCACAGGAGAUCAGUCAAAGGACCUUGCUAGUCACCUGGAUGAACUUCAAGGAGUCACCUCAAAAAAAGAUGAAGCCAAACAAGCAUCUGAAGAAAACCAGUCAAAGCAGAUGAAAGAACCCAAAGCAAUUAUCAAGGCUCAACCAGAAGAGCUGCCAUUCCCUGUGGCUGGUAGCACCACAAUGCGGAGGCAAAAUACCAGUGGCCUGAAAACAGAAGAAGAUUCGAAAGGGAAAAUCUUGCUUGCCCAUCUAGCUGCUAGUGAGAAAGAUGAAGUUACGGUAGAGAGCUGGACACUUCCCACAACAGUAUUGCCUGUGGAAAUCUCCUCCAGCCCACAGUCAGCAGUGGAUGUCUGUCCCCAUGAUGUAUUAUAUGUUUCUGAUCUCAUCACGUUUUCCUCUCGCUUCUGUGGACCAAAUUCACCUUUAAACAAGACCAUGGUCUUUGGUUCAUCUCUGGAAAUGGUUGAGGUUAUCAUGGAACUGAUCACCACCACAGACCGGGGCCGAGGCUUUGCAAUGCUCUUCGAAUACAAGAACAUCACUGACCCUAACACUGUGGAUGCUGUGAGGCAGGAGAGGAAGGAAAAUAUGAUGAUACUGGCAAUCAUAACAGGGAUCAUCUUCUUUGCACUCGCUUUGCUCUCUGCCCUCUGCAUAGCUUGCAGGCAGAGAACGUGCCCCAAAAGGAGCUCAUCCAACGCAUGCAGUGACCAGGAGAACGGGAUCCAGAACUCCGCUGUCGAUAUCAAUGAGCUCCAGCUGGUGGUGCCAAGUCGGGAGAAUGAAAACAACAACCACUCUGUCAGCCGGGAGCAGGCGGUCACUUCCUGUGGAGGCAGCACGGAACGGUCUCCUCAGGACACUGACCCAGAUGUCCCCUCCUCCACAUCCGCAGUGACCACCGAGACUGGGAGUGAUGAAGUGUUUAUUAUUUCUGCUGGACCUGGAGCCAGUGGGCUGAGCUUUACGACCUACAGAAUACAGGACAAAAACCUAAAAAGAAGUGUCACAAGCCCAGCCUCUGUGUCUGACUGGCUGACUUCUACCCACCCGGCUGCAGGAGCCGACGCUGCGGAGAAGGGGACCGUCCAACUGGACAACCACUAUCCCAGGCAACGCACGUGGAGCGCCCGCACCUUCCACGACUUUCUGGCCCCGAUACCACAGCUGCAGAAAAAAUGGUGCAGCUGGACCACCAACAGUCCCUUCACGAAGCUGGUUGACAACAGCGGUUUUCCUCCAGCUGCAAGACCCCAAGGUGUCCCAACCAGAAAGGUAAUCUCAGCCACUGAGAUACAGGGAGCAUCAGAGACCAUUUACUCUGACUCAUCUGCCAGUAAUGCCUCCUACCCCCUCACUCUGUCUGGACAAAGGCAGCGGAAGCUAAGCUCCUGCAAUUUGAAGAAAUCCAGGUUUGGGAAUCCUUAUUUUGGAUUUUUAGCCAAUUCCCCUGACAGCAAACACGUGAAGUCCUUGGAUCCCUCAAGACAUCUAGGGGCAGCAUCUCCAGUUAACAGCCAAAGCCCCAAAAAUCCUCCAGAGAGCUCCAACACACUGAAAAUCAACUUGGUUAAUGGUUCAAAAACAAAGGAGCUUAUGGUAGAAACAGAUAAAAACAAACCAGUUUUUGUUAUAUCUGAAGAAGGAGAUGAUCAGCAACCUCUGGUCCUAGCAGAGCAUCUUAGUCAAUGUGGAGAUCAUCUGUCAGAGCAAAAUGCUGCGUACGCUCCAGCUGUACCAGAUAAACAGCCAGUGGUCCAGACUGUCGAGGGGAGCAGCUCUGCCAGCUUCACCUCAAAUCUGCCCCUGUGGGCAAAAUCCCCUGGCUUAUACAAAGGUCACGGGAAGGCCCCUAGCUCUUCCAGGGACCAGCAGAGCUCCUCAGUUGUAGAUGCUAAUACUACUGAGAGCCCCCAGAACUGUGAUACCCUAACUACUCCUAAACUCUGCCACGCUUCAGUCCAGUGA
ensembl:lncRNA